CCAUGGUACAACAGCUACAACUACCACUACAUGGAAGGUGAAAGCCUAAGGUUGAUGUACGAGCCAUGGUUCGUGAAGUACAAAGUUGAUGUUGUGUUUGCAGGGCAUGUCCAUGCCUACGAAUGGACACAUAGGAUAUCAAAUGUCGCAUACAACAUUGUAAAUGGCUUGUGCUCCCCUGUCCCAGACUAGUCUUCGCCGGUCUACAUAACCAUUGGGGAUGGGGCUGGCCACCAACAUGUCGGAGCUGCAACCAAGCUACUCGGCGUUUAGGGAGACGAGCUUCGGGCACGCCAUACUGGACAUCAAUAACCACGGAAGGAUGAACACACGGCCAGGGUGGCUGACCUGGUGAGCGAGUGACUCUCGCUACAGAGAACAAAUCCUCAAUUUUUGAAAAGUUUUUAUUUCAGUACAGAGAACAAAUCCUCAGUUUUCAUUUCAGUAGAUAGAACAAAUCCUCAGUUUUCAUUUGCAGUUUUCAUUUCAGCACAGAGAACAAAUCCUCAGUUUUUAUUUCAGUACAUGGAUUGCUUAUACAGACUCAUGGGCUUGGCAAACUCUCAUCACUAGAUGAUGUUGCACAAAAUAGAUGUGGAUCUCGAAAUUUCAUUUCCACCAAAGAGUACAUUGAAAAGACAUUUGUGCUUGAACAAGAAACAACCAUGAGCACUUACAAGUGCAUGAAAGUAGGAGUUAAACAACGCAUUUUUUUUUAUACCAAUGCUGGACUUCCUGUCCGAAGACCUUCAAGGCGACUGGAUGGAAGACAGUGUUCAUGUGAAUCAAUCUUCCCCAUCUACAGAAAAUGGUGGCACUCCAUUUAUGGCAUCAUCUCGUGCCGAAGAGCAAAGUGAUACUCCCCCAUCAGUCUAGAUUCAUACAGCUCGAGCAUGGGAGGAGUCACCUAUCUUAGAUGAAUAAUAAGCAUGAAUAUAGCUGGUACGCAUGUAGCUACCAUGCUUGAGUUUGACUUUCCUUUGUGAGCAGUUAUGAACUUGGGUGUUUCUACAUUUGCUUUAUCUCCUCUAGUUGCCAAAACAAGUGGCUGUUAUGCAUACAGUACGUGUCAUUAUGGAUCACUGUGUGAUUUGUUCAAUGCGAAAAAGGUAUUGAA